GGCUGUUGUUGUUGGGUACGAACUCAGGCAAUACUUUGGUGUUUGGUCGAGAUGAUGUCUUCAGCAAAUUGGGUAUGUUCUAGAACCUCCGCAUACGAGCUGGGUCUUAGCAUCACAACCCAAUCAUACAUGUUGGUACGAAGGCCUUUUAGAAACUUCCUAACUUUUUGACAUUUAGAGGUGACCAUUGGAGGGGUAAACCUAGACAGUUGGACAAAAUGGGCUACUUACUUGGCAACCAUUAGAUUUUUUUGGCGGAGAUCCUAAAAUUUUUCCUCCUUUUCUUGGACAUAAAUAAGAAAAAAGUUAUUAAAGAAUGCAUCCAUAAAAACUUCUCAAGUGGUAGGGGUAGGUAGGACUUCCUUCUUAAGUCGCCACUAGUGUUUUACUUCAUCGUUCAGCAUAAAAGCUGCUAGGAAAACUUUUUGUUCCUCAGUCAAGUCCAGGACAAUGAAAAGUUUCUCUAUCUGUAGGAUCGAGGCUUUGGCUACUAAGGGGUCAGGGCCACCUUUGAAAUGUGGCGGGUUAAGCUUCCUAAAUUCUACUAUAUUGUGGGAAAUAGUCCUUUUGGUUGUUAGUAUUAUGGGGAAGGACGUGGAUAAGAGUUGGCUUGAUUUUGUCCAACGGUUGUAGUCUAUCCUUGGAUGACUCAGAAGAGUUCGAUAAAUUUAACCCUGCUCGGGUGAUUCAGGGCUUCAGAUCGCUAGGUACGCUCUACAAAUGGUCUUCCUCACAUAAUU
rnacentral:lncRNA from 1 species